rnacentral:rRNA from 1 species
UGGAUGACACUUUUCGGAGCGUAAACUCCUUUUAUCUGGAAAGAAUAAUGACGGUACCUGAUGAAUAAGCACCGGCUAACUCCGUGCCAGCAGCCGCGGUAAUACGGGGGGUGCAAGCGUUACUCGGAAUCACUGGGCGUAAAGGACGCGUAGGCGGAUUAUCAAGUCUUUUGUGAAAUCUAGUGGCUUAACCACUAAACUGCUUAGGAAACUGAUAGUCUAGAGUAGGGGAGAGGUAGAUGGAAUUCUUGGUGUAGGGGUAAAAUCCGUAGAGAUCAAGAAGAAUACCCAUUGCGAAAGCGAUCUGCUGGAACCUAACUGACGCUGAGGCGUGAAAGCGUGGGUAGCAAACAGGAUUAGAUACCCUGGUAGUCCACGCCCUAAACGAUGUAUACUAGUUGUUGCUUUGCUAGUCAAGGCAGUAAUGCAGCUAACGCAUUAAGUAUACCGCCUGGGGAGUACGGUCGCAAGAUUAAAACUCAAAGGAAUAGACGGGGACCCGCACAAGCGGUGGAGCAUGUGGUUUAAUUCGAAGAUACGCGAAGAACCUUACCUGGACUUGACAUCCUAAAAACAUCUAAGAGAUUAGAAAGUGCUAGUUUACUAGAAUUUAGUGACAGGUGCUGCACGGCUGUCGUCAGCUCGUGUCGUGAGAUGUUGGGUUAAGUCCCGCAACGAGCGCAACCCACGUGUUUAGUUGCUAACAGCUCGGCUGAGCACUCUAAACAGACUGCCUUCGUAAGGAGGAGGAAGGUGUGGACGACGUCAAGUCAUCAUGGCCCUUAUGUCCAGGGCGACACAC